rnacentral:rRNA from 1 species
UGCCAGCAGCCGCGGUAAUACGGAGGGGGUUAGCGUUGUUCGGAAUUACUGGGCGUAAAGCGCACGUAGGCGGGUUAGCAAGUCGGAUGUGAAAGCCCUCGGCUCAACUGAGGAAGUGCAUUCGAAACUGCUAGUCUUGAGUCUUGGAGAGGGAAGCGGAAUUCCCGGUGUAGAGGUGAAAUUCGUAGAUAUCGGGAGGAACAUCAGUGGCGAAGGCGGCUUCCUGGACAAUGACUGACGCUGAGGCUCGAAAGCGUGGGGAGCAAACAGGAUUAGAUA